CCUACGGGUGGCAGCAGUGGGGAAUAUUGCACAAUGGGGGAAACCCUGAUGCAGCCACGCCGCGUGAGUGAAGAAGGCUUUCGGGUUGUAAAGCUCUUUCGGUAGCGAGGAAAGUGACGGUACCAAAAGACGAAGCGCCGGCUAACUACGUGCCAGCAGCCGCGGUAAUACGUAGGGCGCACGCGUUAUCCGGAUUUACUGGGUGUAAAGGGAGCGGAGGCGGCAGGGCAAGUCAGAAGUGAAAACCGCGGGCUCAACCUGGGGACUGCGGUGGAAACUGGGGGGCUGGAGUGCAGUAGAGGUAGGUGGAAUUCCACGUGUAGCGGUGAAAUGCGUAGAGAUGAGGAGGAAUACCAGUGGCGAAGGCGGC
rnacentral:rRNA from 1 species